rnacentral:rRNA from 1 species
UACGUAGGGUGCAAGCGUUAAUCGGAAUUACUGGGCGUAAAGCGUGCGCAGGCGGUUGUGUAAGACAGGUGUGAAAUCCCCGGGCUCAACCUGGGAACUGCAUUUGUGACUGCACAGCUGGAGUGCGGCAGAGGGGGAUGGAAUUCCGCGUGUAGCAGUGAAAUGCGUAGAUAUGCGGAGGAACACCGAUGGCGAAGGCAAUCCCCUGGGCCUGCACUGACGCUCAUGCACGGAAGCGUGGGGAGCAAACAGG